CAAGGAUCAGCUCCCGGUUCCCCUGUUCCGAGCUCAUCUUUAUCUCGAACCAAAUCCAAACUCCAUCCCAUCCGUAUUUGUUCCUAGCAUCUUCCUUCUCUCUCGAUUCAUCCUUAUCUUCUUCCCAACGAUUUCCCCCAUCUCAGCUGUGAGCAACAUCCCUUGCAUCCGAGAAUCAAGCCAACUUCAUCCACCCAUGCCUCCCCUGUUUCACUUGCUUCAUCUCCCAAGCCUCUUCUUUCGGAUCACCUCCCACCAAAUCUAGCUCCUCCCAACGUCCAGAAAGCAAGCAUCCCAAAGGAUCGAGGUGACUUCAGCCAACCAAUCCAGCCGUUUGGCGAGCUUCAAGGAUCCAGCGAUCAACUCCAUCCAGCAGUGUGUCCAAGGAUCAAGGAACAGAGCCUCACAGAUCACUCCCUUCCAGUUCAUCCCAGCGUCCGUGAGCUCCUUCCAACUUCUCCCGCAUCCGGAUCUCCCGCGGCCAACAAAUCUCAACUCCUCCACGCAGCCGGAUCAACUCCAUCAAGCCAUCCUUAUCCCACAUUCAAGCUUAUCCUUCGCACGAAACAGGGGGGGCUGAGAGGCUAUAAAAAGAGGAGGGUUUUCUUUGGGAUUUAUCCUUCUUCCCCAUCGGAGGACUGAUCCCAGCUCUUCUCUGAAUCCAUCAAGCUUCUGUUCGGUCCCAUUCAUUCCUUCUCACCCAAUCCCAUCCAUUAGUUCUUUUAUUCGGAAAGCCCACGGGAGACAGGGAAGGGAGGAAAGAAUU
rnacentral:lncRNA from 1 species